rnacentral:rRNA from 1 species
GGAAUAUUGCGCAAUGGGCGAAAGCCUGACGCAGCAACGCCGCGUGAGUGAUGAAGGCCCUCGGGUCGUAAAUCUCUGUCAGAGGGGAAGAACCCCCGCCAGGAUAAUAUCCUUGCGGGCUGACCGUACCCUCAAAGCAAGCACCGCCUAACUCCGUGCCAGCAGCCGCGGUAAUACGGAGGGUGCAAGCGUUGUUCGGAAUUAGUGGGCGUAAAGCGCGUGUAGGCGGUCAUUUAAGGCUGAUGUGAAAGCCCCGGGCUCAACCUGGGAAGUGCAUUGGAAACUGGAUGACUUGAGUACGGGAGAGGGUAGUGGAAUUCCGAGUGUAGGGGUGAAAUCCGUAGAUAUUCGGAGGAACGCCGGUGGCGAAGGCGGCUACCUGGACCGAUACUGACGCUGAGACGCGAAAGCGUGGGGAGCAAAC